rnacentral:rRNA from 1 species
UACGGGGGGGGCAAGCGUUGUUCGGAAUUACUGGGCGUAAAGGGCGCGUAGGCGGCCUGCUAAGUCGGAUGUGAAAUCCCUCGGCUCAACCGAGGAACUGCAUCCGAUACUGGCGGGCUUGAAUCCGGGAGAGGGAUGUGGAAUUCCAGGUGUAGCGGUGAAAUGCGCAGAUAUCAGGAGGAACACCGGUGGCGAAGGCGGGUCUCUGGGCCGAUACUGACGCUGAGGAGCGAAAGCAUGGGGAGCGAACAGG